AAAGACGUCAAAUUUCUAAUUAUCAGUGGGCAGAACAGAGAGACAGAAAUGGAAAGCAAGCUAUCUUCACCCCUCGCCCAUUCAAGAACUCUCUCACUUAGCUAAGAGAUGCAAUGCCAUCAACCUCGCUGAAGGCUUCCCACCCACCAGAAAUUCGCUGCCGUUUCCGCCAUCAAUUCCAACCUCAACUAGUUAGGUUGCUAGCCUAAUGUAGAAAAUAAACUGGUUUCUGUCGAACAACUCGUUUUAUUUGUAGAACUAAUGCAGCCUAAGAGUUGUAAAUCAAGGCAUGUGCAAGGAAUUUACGAGCACUUGGCGAAAAUUAUGAAGGAAAUGCAUAGUUUUGAUGUUGACGCUCAGACUGAUAUAGCCAUUCGCAGCCGCAGUGUUUGCUAGUUGUUUUCUGAUCUGAAAUUGUUAAUGCAUAAUAGUGAUAGACCCGGGGGAUGAAGUAGUGCUGUUUGACCCUUCAUAUGAGGGGUGCAUCAGAAUGGCUGGAGGAAUUCCUGUAAGCUUUUUGUUGUCAAUUAAUGCGGGUUUUGAUUUUGAAUGUGGUUUUAAGAGUAGUGGUGAUGAUUGUUAAUGGCAAGAAUUGGAAGAUUUGAUUUACUUUUAGAAAAAUGGAUAUGUUAAAGGUAUAUGUGGCACUCGACCCUUCCAAUUGGAGUUUGGAUUUAGACAAAUUCUUGGGAUCUUUUACUGGCAGAACAAAACCUGUGAUAUUAAACAGGUUAGAGGGUUCACUUGGGGGAACUGAUAAUCGUUUUUUUCCCAGUAAAAAAAGGUAAGGAUUUUCUUAUCAUUGGCAGGACAAUUCUUAUUAUUGUUGUUUGAAUGAAAUGCUUCAAUUUUUGUGGCAUUCACAAGCCUAUCUGAGGUGCAACUUUGUACUUCACAUUUGUGACCAAGAUGAGAGUAAGAACUAUCAAGAAAGAUAUUUAUGAGCGGUACACAUAUAACAUGUCUACAUUUUUUCAACAGGCAAUUAGCCUUCAAGUUUAAUGAGCAAUUGCUCUAUAUGAGAUUCGCGCCUUGAUUUCGGAUCCUACAAACUUCAAUUGAAGACUCUCUGGACAUCUGCUAGAUCACCCAUGAAAGUGUAUGAUCAACAGCCUGCUCUUAGUCCAUAACUUUGUUUAUUACCUAGAGUAGAUCGGAAGAAACUGGAAAAAAGAAUGCAGCACCUUACAACGAUUUCUUAGGAUCUAUGUCAAAUUAUAGAACUUCAGAGGAUGAUGCUUCAGAAAUAAUGAAUUUAUGCCUUACUGACAUGAAGUGGCACAGUGCUCACAGUCCAACCGGGAAAGUUUCCAUUAAAGAUGAGAUUCAGAUCAUUGCGGAAGCUUGCUGCGGAAGAGAUUGCCUAGCUAUAUAAACAGAUGAAAUAUGAUACUCUAUUGCUUACAUUUGUGAACAUUAGCAUGAUAGUCAAUCUUGGUGGUUGGUGCCACUAACCUCCUGCUCCUUGCUAUCUGAAUACACAGUCCCAAUUUUAGUGAGC